CCUACGGGAGGCAGCAGUGAGGAAUAUUGGUCAAUGGGCGCAAGCCUGAACCAGCCAAGUCGCGUGCAGGAUGACGGUCCUACGGAUUGUAAACUUCUUUUAUCGGGGAGCAACGCACCUUACGCGUGGGGCUCUGCGUGUACCCUAUGAAUAAGCACCGGCUAAUUCCGUGCCAGCAGCCGCGGUAAUACGGAGGGUGCGGGCGUUAUCCGGAUUUAUUGGGUUUAAAGGGUGCGUAGGCGGCAGGUCAAGCCGGCGGUAAAAGUUCGGGGCUCAACCGCGUCGAGCCGUUGAAACUGGUGUGCUUGAGUGAGUGAGAAGUAGGCGAAAUGCGUCGUGUAGCGGUGAAAUGCAUAGAUAUGACGCAGAACCCCGAUUGCGAAGGCAGCAUACCGGAGCGGAACUGACGCUCAUGCACGAAAGUGUGGGUAUCGAACAGGAUUAGAUACCCGUGUAGUC
rnacentral:rRNA from 1 species